rnacentral:rRNA from 1 species
AUUGAACGCUGGCGGCAGGCCUAACACAUGCAAGUCGAACGAGUGGCGGACGGGUGAGUAAUGGCUGGGAAACUGCCCGAUGGAGGGGGAUAACUACUGGAAACUGUAACUAAUACCGCAUAACAUCGGAGGUGCCCAGAUGGGAUGAGCUAGUAGGUGGGGUAAUGGCGCACCUAGGCGACGAUCCCUAGCUGGUCUGAGAGGAGGACCAGCCACACUGGAACGGAGACACGGUCCAGACUCCUACGGGAGGCAGCAUUGGGGAAUAUUGCACAAUGGGCGCAAGCCUGAUGCAGCAAUGCGGCGUGUAUGAAGAAGGCUUUCGGGUUGUAAAGUACUUUCAGCGAGGAGGCGUUACUCGCAGAAGAAGCACCGGCUAACUCCGUGCCAGCAGCCGCGGUAAUAC